UAGAAAUUUUGAAGAAACUUGGACAUUGCACCUCCUCUGCAACCUGCCCUGCUUGGCUGAAUGACUAAUCUUGCUGCCACUGCUGAAUGGUUAUGGCAACUGGUUAAUUGCUAUUUCAAGCAUUCAAUUGAAUUGUAUUCAGUAAUAAUUUAUUGUAAUAGUAUUGAAUAAAUAAUCAAUUGUAUUCAGUAUAGUAUUGAAUAAUUUAUUGUAAUAGUAUUGAAUAAAUAAAUAUUAAUUGUA